UACGUAGGGUGCAAGCGUUGUCCGGAAUUAUUGGGCGUAAAGAGCUCGUAGGCGGUUCGUCGCGUCGGCUGUGAAACCCGGAGCUCAACUCCGGGCCUGCAGUCGAUACGGGCGGACUUGAGUGUUGCAGGGGAGACUGGAAUUCCUGGUGUAGCGGUGAAAUGCGCAGAUAUCAGGAGGAACACCAAUGGCGAAGGCAGCUCGCUGGGACGUGACUGACGCUGAGACGCGAAAGCGUGGGGAGCAAACAGG
rnacentral:rRNA from 1 species